ensembl:lncRNA
UGUGUGAUUACAGAGUGUGAUUAUAGAGUGUGUGAUUAUAGAGUGUGUGAUUAUAGAUUCUGUGAUUAUAGAGUGUGUGAUUAUAAAGUAUGUGUGAUUAUAGUGAGUGUGUGAUUAUAGAUUGUGUGAUUAUAGAGUGUGUGAUUAUAGUGAGUGUGAUUAUAGAUUGUGUGAUUAUAGAGUGUGUGAUUAUAGAGUGUGUGAUUAUAGAUUGUGUGAUUAUAGAGUGUGUGAUUAUAGAGUGUGUGAUUAUAGUGAGUGUGAUUAUAGAGUGUGUGAUUAUAGAGUGUGUGAUUAUAAAUGUUGAUUAUAGAGUGUGUGAUUAUAGAUUGUGUGAUUAUAGAGUGUGUGAUUAUAGUGAGUGUGAUUAUAGAGUGUGUGAUUAUAGAGUGUGUGAUUAUGGAUUGUGUGAUUAUAGAGUGUGUGAUUAUAGUGAGUGUGAUUAUAGAGUGUGUGAUUAUAGA